rnacentral:rRNA from 1 species
AUGGUGCCUCUCUACCGAGGCCUGCUGCUGCUACUGAUGGCGCUUCCGCCAUCCGCCCAUGGAGCAGCCAUGGCUAGAAGCAAAAUCUCCACCGCCUUCAUGUUCGGCGAUUCGAUCGUCGACCCCGGCAACAACAACGACCGGCUGACGGAGGCCAAGGCCAACUUCCCAUCGUACGGGCAGGACUUCCCCGGCGGGGUGGCCACCGGGAGGUUCUUCAACGGGAAGGUUCCCGGAGACAUGCUAGGAGCUGCUAAUGAGAUGCAUAUAGUUCAGUCCUACUGGCCCGUCAGCUUGGUUUUCAUCCGUCGUGCAUUUUUUUCCUGCCCCCUUCUCCAUUUAGCGCACAGCUAA